AGUGAACGCUGGCGGUAGGCCUAACACAUGCAAGUCGAACGGCAGCACAGUAAGAGCUUGCUCUUACGGGUGGCGAGUGGCGGACGGGUGAGGAAUACAUCGGAAUCUACUUUUUCGUGGGGGAUAACGUAGGGAAACUUACGCUAAUACCUCAUACGACCUACGGGUGAAAGCAGGGGAUCUUCGGACCUUGCGCGAUUGUAUGAGCCGAUGUCGGAUUAGCUAGUUGGCGGGGUAAAGGCCCACCAAGGCGACGAUCCGUAGCUGGUCUGAGAGGAUGAUCAGCCACACUGGAACUGAGACACGGUCCAGACUCCUACGGGAGGCAGCAGUGGGGAAUAUUGGACAAUGGGCGCAAGCCUGAUCCAGCCAUACCGCGUGGGUGAAGAAGGCCUUCGGGUUGUAAAGCCCUUUUGUUGGGAAAGAAAAGCAGCAGAUUAAUACCCCGCUGUUCUGACGGUACCCAAAGAAUAAGCACCGGCUAACUUCGUG
rnacentral:rRNA from 1 species